rnacentral:rRNA from 1 species
CAGUAGCCACGGGAACACGUAGGGGGCAAGCGUUAUCCGGAAUUAUUGGGCGUAAAGCGUGCGCAGGCGGUCCGCUAAGACAGAUGUGAAAUCCCCGGGCUUAACCUGGGAACUGCAUUUGUGACUGGCGGGCUAGAGUAUGGCAGAGGGGGGUAGAAUUCCACGUGUAGCAGUGAAAUGCGUAGAGAUGUGGAGGAAUACCGAUGGCGAAGGCAGCCCCCUGGGCCAAUACUGACGCUCAUGCACGAAAGCGUGGUGAGCAAACAGGAUUAGAUACCCCCGUAGUCCCUGUCUCUUAUAC